UUACGUUGGAAAAAGAUAUGGCGACCACGUUACGAGGUGUCGGGUAACGAGAGGCGAUUUACCGGUUUACAAUUAAUGCUGCAUCAAAACAGCAGUACAAAGUCCCGUGAAAUGUGGAUUGUGGUCGGGGAGAAGAACAGUUUUCCACAGUUAAACUGUAAUAUUUGGAUUGCACAGUCCGGAAUAAAUUGUUGGUGGUGGUGAUUGUUUAGAAAAAACUAUUGCCGUGGAGUACUGUAAGAUGUGGUACUACACAAGCUGUGCUGCUCAUCAGUUUGAACAGUUGAUUGCAGUUUUUUCCACUACUGAAUUAGAAAAGGCCCUUUGUCAAGAGAAAAAUCCAAUCUAAGCCGAAAAAUUGAGACAGGCACCAGCCAAUCCUUUGUGGAAUUUUGCUAUGGACGUCUUUCAAAUGAACCUCAAUGUUAAGAAAGGAGAAGAAUCUGAACCCAAAGUAGAGCUUGAAGAACCAUCUACUACCGAUAUACCAAUAACCAACGGAACUUAUUCCAUGCGCUCCAAGACGGCAUUAUUAUGGCGUGCUCUUGCAGACUCAUGACAAUGACUUACGACGGUUCUGGUGAAGUCAUCAAGAAGGAAAGCAGUGGUAACCCUCACCAAAUCAAAAUCCUUCACCAACCGACAUCAUUUUUAAGUUCGGAAUGGAAGGCCGGCAUCUGUUUGCGGUAUGUAAGAGCAUGCUGGCGUCAGAAGAGACAUCGUAAAAGUUACUUGUUCAAGUUCCCUUUAGCAAACCUUUAUUACUUCCAUAUCCCAGACCAAUUGCCUAAAGUACCAGCAGAUCUAGAAACCCAAAGUUGAUGAAAUUUGACUUGAGGAUUAAUUGAGUUCUACAGUAUCACGACGAAAAGCAUCUAGCACGAUGUCGUUUAAGACUUCCCAUUGGCUAGACCUCUGUUCAGAAUGUCUCGGUUUUCCACGCAAACGACAUCAAAUCGUUGAGCGAAUUAUCUUUGAAAGUUCGAACACUCUGUGCAUGUCCCGCUGAGAAGAAAUGGUGACCAAAGCCGGCAACCUAGGCAGAGACAGUAAAAUUGGACAAGGAAUUCACCCCAUCUCGUCCACGAUUGCGUAAACGCAAGGGCCACUAGAUUUUGGUACUGGAGGUAAACCGAAAUCUAAGACCAUGAAGAAACUUAAUGCUUAUUCCUAAUAGCAAUUGCGCUCACUACGUAAUUCUCUAACCCAUCACUAAAGAACACCACUCCUGCAACACAAACUAAUGUUGUUCAACUCAAUUGGUGUUCACGCAGCUGGGACAACUGGAAUUCCCAUGGGUCGGCGUAUUCAUCACCAUUCAUUCACCACCAUAAAUGGUAAAACAUAUUUUAGGUUGAUCGCGCAAUGAUGAGUUCAGCUUCGGGACCCCUACCUGGCUGUACUAAUUGCUCUCCAUUGCCUCCGCCACUCCAAUCAAUGUCUUCUGGAAAAUACAGUAUCGCUUCACUGAGAUGUAUACUUUGACGUUCCAAUGGCAAACUUAAAAGGAAAUGUGACGAUUCGAACGUUGUGAUUCGUUCACAGGACAAAGAAAUAUUAACCUCCGCAGUCCGAAGAAUUUUGAUCCCAAUUCUCAGCGGGUAGACUGGCGGUCGUUUGGUCAACUAAACGGCGGCUAAGCGUGUCCGGAUGAUAAUCAGAUGUUGCUGGAUGAAUGAGACGUUGUGACCAUCUCCAAAUUCGUGGUAGAUCAUCAUUCAGCUCAAUGUACUCCGGAUCGGUUGCUAUCAGUAACUGUUAUAGACGAUUUACUUUUCGUGUCCAAUGGACUUGGUUUCUCAACAGAAUCGUGUGACACCUGCCGAAGUGAAGGACACGAAAAUGCAAUAUGCAAAACAUAACGAAACGCAUUUCGACUUCCAGUGCUGGUGAAAUUUAAAGUUAAAAAAAACAAAACAAUUUCUAUUACAAACUUCUCAGAAGUUGGGUGUAACGAAAAGUCCCUCAAAGAAGUAUGUAAGCUUAUUCUUCACCUGGAAGCAUCCAAAGUUCUUCAAGGUCUAGGCUGCGUUAAACGUUGUUGGCUCAGCCUCUCCAGCGGAAACCUACUAUGACUAAUUGCUCCCUAGUAAAACUGGCCUCGCUCUCUUCUUCCUUCUUCAGGUAAUCUCCCUGAGCACAAUGAAACAAGGCAUAGUCUCCCCUGUCUUGAUUGACCGAACUGUGCAAGGAAAUUUCAUAUUGAUAAAAUUAAUAUAUUGAAGGUAAAAUAUAAACAUGUAUGAUGAGGGAUGAUAAAAAUAUUUAUAAAAAAGUGUCAAUAAGA
rnacentral:lncRNA from 1 species